UAGGGAAUCUUCGGCAAUGGACGAAAGUCUGACCGAGCAACGCCGCGUGAGUGAAGAAGGUUUUCGGAUCGUAAAACUCUGUUGUUAGAGAAGAACAAGGACGUUAGUAACUGAACGUCCCCUGACGGUAUCUAACCAGAAAGCCACGGCUAACUACGUGCCAGCAGCCGCGGUAAUACGUAGGUGGCAAGCGUUGUCCGGAUUUAUUGGGCGUAAAGCGAGCGCAGGCGGUUUCUUAAGUCUGAUGUGAAAGCCCCCGGCUCAACCGGGGAGGGUCAUUGGAAACUGGGGGACUUGAGUGCAGAAGAGGAGGGUGGAAUUCCAUGUGUGGCGGUGAAAUGCGUAGAUAUAUGGAGGAAAGCCAGUGGCGAAGGCGGCUCUCUGGUCUGUAACUGACGCUGAGGCUCGAAAGAGUGGGGAGCAAACAGG
rnacentral:rRNA from 1 species